rnacentral:tRNA from 3 species
GCCCGGAUGGCGAAAUUGGUAGACGCAAGGGACUUAAAAUCCCUCGGUGGCGACACCGUGCCGGUUCGAUCCCGGCUCCGGGCACCA